rnacentral:rRNA from 1 species
CACAGAGUUAGCCGGUGCUUAUUCUGUCGGUAACGUCAAAACAAUCACGUAUUAGGUAACUGCCCUUCCUCCCAACUUAAAGUGCUUUACAAUCCGAAGACCUUCUUCACACACGCGGCAUGGCUGGAUCAGGCUUUCGCCCAUUGUCCAAUAUUCCCCACUGCUGCCUCCCGUAGGAGUCUGGACCGUGUCUCAGUUCCAGUGUGACUGAUCAUCCUCUCAGACCAGUUACGGAUCGUCGCCUUGGUGAGCCAUUACCUCACCAACUAGCUAAUCCGACCUAGGCUCAUCUGAUAGCGCAAGGCCCGAAGGUCCCCUGCUUUCUCCCGUAGGACGUAUGCGGUAUUAGCGUCCGUUUCCGAGCGUUAUCCCCCACUACCAGGCAGAUUCCUAGGCAUUACUCACCCGUCCGCCGCUCGCCACCAGGUACAAGUACCCGUGCUGCCGCUCGACUUGCAUGUGUUAGGCCUGCCGCCAGCGUUCAAUCUGAGCCAGGA